rnacentral:rRNA from 1 species
CGAAGGUAUUGAAUAAGGCUUUAAAUGGGUGCUAAGAGAAUGGUUUAACAAGGAGAGACUUUCUUUUUUUUUAUAUUAGAAGUUAAUUUGAAAAUGAAAAAGUUUUUAUAAAUUUUUGGGACAAGAAGACCCUAUGAAUUUUUUUAAAAUAAUUUAUAUUUUAAUUAAGAUUAUUAGAAAUUUAUUUUUUAGUUAUGACCGGGGUGAUUUUUAAAGAUUAUUAAUCUUUAAAAUUUUUUAAUAAAAAAGUUCCAUUAGUAGUGAUUUUUUGAUAAAAAUACUCUAGGGAUAACAGCGUUAUUAUUUUGGAUAGUUCAUAUAGAUAAAAUAGUUUGCGACCUCGAUGUUGGAUUAGGAUUCUUUUAUGAUGAAGAAGUUAUAAGGGAGAAGUUUGCUCAACUUUUAAAGUCCUACUUGAUCUGAGUUCAGCCCGGG